GUAGGUGAACCUGCGGAAGGAUCAUUAUCGUGGGGCUUCGGCCCUGUCGAGAUAACACCCUUGCCUUUUGAGUACCGUCCGUUUCCUCGGCAGGCCCGCCUGCCAAUGGGGACUACCAAUAAACUCUUUUAUGUACCUGUAUCAGUCUGAAAAACAAACAAAAGUUAAAACUUUCAACAACGGAUCUCUUGGUUCUG
rnacentral:misc_RNA from 1 species